rnacentral:lncRNA from 1 species
UAGGAUUAUUUUUAAAGCAAAAAGAAAUAGAUCAUGUAAUCUGCCCAUGGCAUCAUGAGAGCUGCACGAUACGCACGUUAGAUUUAGAGGAGUUGCUGAAUAUAGGAGAUUUAUGAAAUGUAGGUUUCUCUAGCACAGUGUGGCUUCCACUGCCUCUCUUUCUAAGCUCUAGCUCUUCAGCUAAGUUAAACACCUAGAAACUUGUUGAGUGUUUGAAAUGAAAUUAAUUUUACGCCCCUUCAUAGACCAGCUUGUGUGAACUCUCGUGUCCUGUGUCAGGUGAUAGAAAAUAAUGGUCAGUCUCAAGGCUCUUCCGGCUCCGGAUUGCCUAAUGGUC